rnacentral:tRNA from 1 species
GAGAGUGUAGCUCAGUGGUAGAGUGUGUGCUUAGUAUGCAUGACAUCCUGGGUUCGAUCCCUAGUACUUCUA